rnacentral:tRNA from 1 species
AGAUGAAUUAGCUCAAUGGUAGAGCGUCCCUGUCUAUCGGGAAGGUCGCCGGUUCGAUUCCGGUAUUCUGUC